GGUGGCCAGGAGGAGGGGGUGAUGAGAGGGCUCCCCUCCUGCCCUGGGCCAACUUUCUCAGGGUCCAGGAAGCCCGAGGGAAUUCUGAGCUUUCCCUGCAGGAGCGUAGUGCCCAGGCUGGGAGAGAUGUGCCUCUGUGGGCAUCUUGAAGGGAAACGAGAAGCGGAGCUGCCCCUGCACCUGCACUGGGAGCUGCCUGCCUCCUGCUUGUCCUGCCCAUGUGUGAACCUCAGCGUGGAAGAGGGAGUCUCGCACUGCUCCCUGCACGGCCCAUCUGGCCUCCUGGGGUCCGUUUUUCAGAGAUGGGGUGAGGACAGGACUCUGGGAUCCUGGAGGCUCACGGGCCAUGCCUGAGGCUGAGAGAGAGGCUGGAGGCAGCAGGCAGGGUGGUAACCCGUCCCCUCCUCUCCAGGGCAGCCAGCUGGGGCCCAGCUGGAAUGCUUGUUUACAUGGGGAGGCCGGGGGAGGCUGAAUCCCGGCGAGUUCCAAGUGUAAUUGCGUUUGGACACUUAAAAGGAAUUGUGUGAAGUGGGCAGAGGCUCUGAAGUCCACCGCCUUAUUUGGUAUGGAAAUCUGUUUCUCUCAAAAUAAGCGAGGGGCGCUUGUAAACGGGAAGGUCGUCCUGGCCUGGGUUUGUGGAGUCUCGUUACCGUGGGCUUGGUGUGUCCGGCUGCUCUGGCGCAGUACGGCAGACUAGGGGCUUAUCGGCGCAGGCGUUUGUUUCCCACAGCUCCAGGGGCCGGAGGGCCAAGAUCAAGGCACCCACAGAUUCAGCGUCUGGUGAGGACCCAGCCUCUCACUGAGUCCCCAUGUGGUGACCCCUUUCAGGCAGGCGAAGGAGCUUGAUGGGGCCUCUUUUACUCGGGCAUUAAUGCCAUUAUGAGGCCCCACCCUCAUAACCUGCUCAUCUCCCAAACGCCCCACCUCACACAGGAGAUUAGAUGUCAACAUAUGAAUUCAGGGCAGUGGGGCAGCAGGGCAGGGGCCAGGGAGUGAGGCCACAAACGUGCAGUCUCUAGCAGCCACCCUGGGGGUCUCUCCCCACCCCCUGGGGAAGUGGUGGGCUGUGUGUGUUGGGGGGAUGCCCAGAGGCCCAGUGCAAGGAGUUCCCAUGCUGCCUCCAGGCUUGGGUGACCUUGGACAGUUUCCUUCCCACCGGAAACCUUGGUUUCCUCAGCUGUCAGAUGGGAAAAGAUAAUGACCCACAGGGUUACAGCAAGGAGGGAUCGGAUGCCAGGAGGAAGAGCUCUUCAUGCACCUCAGCAACGCCGCUCCCUGCUCCGGGUGUCCCGCUAGUGCCAUUCCCUCCGUGUAAGGCUCAGGGCUCUGGCUGAUGCUGAGAAUGGGGCAUGGUCCCUGCUCGUCCAGCCUUCACUUUCUAAACAGCCACCACUUGCCGUCAGGAGUCCUCCCCUGCCCCUCCCAGUAGAACCUUGUUUUUAAUCAUCCCUUGCCAAGGGCCUUGUGGUCCUACGCCUCUCCCCAUGUCCCCUCCUGAGGGUGCAGGCCCGGACCCUCCACUGUUGGGGGGAUCCUUGGGGGAAGGAGGCCGGUUCUGGACAGAGAUGUCUCCCUGCCAGGUGCUUCUGUGGCCUACGGUUGCCUUGCUGCUCCCUGGACAAGGGGGUGGGGGUGGACCAGCCCUUGUGGCCCCUCUGCAGCCAGCACCAUCCUCAGUAAAGACUACAGCAGCCACAAGAAACUAAUCCAUGGGGAUGGCCAGGUCUGAUUAGCUGGGGUGGGGCUGGAGGCUCCUCUACAGAGGUGAUGCUUACACUGAGACCUGAAGGAGAAGGAGGAGGCAGCUGCUCACGCAACCCACAGGAAAGUGUUCCAGGAUCAAGAACAGCAGGUGCAAAGGCCCCAUGAUGGAAAGGAUUGGUGCACUAGGAGAACAAAGGGGAUGGCUGGAGGGCAGGAGGGGAGGGUGCAUAUGCAGGCUGGGGAGGAGGGUAGGGCCUUGAGGCACCCUACAGGCCCCUGUAAGUCCAGGCACAGAGCCGCUGCCAAGGUCCGGACAUUCCAGUUUCCCAUCUUUCCAGUGUGGGACUCUCUGCAUUUUCCAAUUCCCCACUUCCUGAUGCCAGAUACUGCCUGACUGUGUCCAUCUCUCCCCCGUCCCCUGGGCCACCUCCCUGCUGAGACCCCUCGCUGGUGCCUCCCAGGUGCAUUCUCCUCCCUGCCCCCAGCAGAGUCCUUCCCACACACCCAGCUCCUCGGUGUGGUGCCCACCCAUGGGGGGGUGGUGCACCCCACCAGCAUCCCUCGUCUGCCCUGUCCACCUCAACUUCCAGGGCAGUCUGGAAACCAGGUUUGGUCCACCUCAUCCAUACUCGCCUGCGUGUGUCCCGCCUAAAGCGGAUCCAUGAUGUCCCGUCAUCAGACCUUCAAUUUCAGCACAGAACUGAAUAACCAACCUUCAAAAAGUUUGCAGUAGCCUUGUCACUCCUAAAAAUAACAAAUAAUUCCUUAAACAUCAUUCAACAUCCAA